rnacentral:lncRNA from 1 species
AAGAGAAAUAGAAUUUUAGCAUGAGGAAAAGUUUUGUUUUGAAUUAUUCAAAUUAGAUUUAAAUGCAUUUUGCAUAAAUUUUAGACAGAUUUUGUUUUUUGUAAAAGCAUAUGCCACAUUGUGUUUUUAUAAUUUUCUAUUUUAAAAUUUUGUUACAUUGUUAUAAUAUUUUUAGAUGAGGUUGUUUCACGUAUUAGCUUAGCAUCACAGUUUAUUUUUGCAAAAGUUUUGUAUUUGCAUUUUUGUGUUGUUUUUAUGGCAUUCCUUUAUAAUUUAUAUUUUGCAUUUGCAUUUUAAAUUUUUCAUUACAUGUUUUGUUUUGGCAAAUGUUUUGCAUUUUGACUUGGAUCUAUGUAACUGUUUAUUGUAAUUCCUUUUCCUUUCUUUCCCUGGUUUGAAUUCCGUAGUAGUGUUAAGGUGUGGGAUAGUUAGUUUGGGUAAGUAUACUAGAGUAGGUUUGCAAUAAGGGGGGUUUAGGGUUUUAUUGGUGAGCAAAAGAAAAAUUUGUUUUUUCCAAAAAUUUUCUCUUUGCUCAAAAGGGCAGAAUGGAGAAAGGAGAGAGAGGGAUGGCUUGAGAUAUCAGAGAGGGAAAGGGUUUUGCAGAAGUUGGUUUGGCCGCAUGCUAGGAACCCGAGGAUAGAGACUCUGGAAUCUGGGGAGGGGCUUUGAAGGACACCAUCCAGCUGAAGGGCCUUUUGCUUCCUGGCCCUGAGGCUGAGUGGAGAGGAGCUCUCCACUGGUCUCUGCUGGUCCUGCUGCCAUAAAAUCUCCCGUGAGGCUGAAGGGGAGUGUUUACAGGGCUGGGAAGUACCUUUCCUCAUGAAGAAGAUUGCAUCAUGAAGAUCCUCAUAACAACUAUGGGAUCUGAUCAAGAGACAGUGUAGGUGUGAGGGCCCGAGGCCAAGCUCAGGGCCUGGCCCAACUGGGUUGACCUCAGGCAUCAAAAGUUCAUUCCUUGGCCAUCUAAAGAUUAUUACAUCUUGGAAAACCAACACAGCAGGAUUGAUAGAGUUUAGAAGAGCCAGUUGGGCCUUGGGGAUCUCAGCCAGAGACAGGCAGAUGAUGAAGGUUUCUCUGUUAUAAAUGAGCUACCAGAACAGGAGGAGAGCCAUUCUUUCUCUCAGCAGCCCAGAGGAAAAGGCAAGGUAAUGUGAAGAGGGAAGACAUGAAUAAGAACACAGCCAGUGGCACAAUUCCUUCUGUCCUCCUGCCCAAGCCACAGUCAGUUUUGUGGGUCUACUUCUGAAACAUGGUUUAUGCUAUGAUUUCUAAGAUUUAUUGUACUUUUUAUGUCAUCUUACAUAUGUUGUACUAUGUUGGACACAUCUUUUGUCAGUUCUCUCUUCCCAAUUAAAUAUAACCAUGAGGUUACUUAGAGAAAGAUCCAUUUGGAUCUGUGUUUGUACACUCUGUACAUUCAAAAUAAUGGAGCUGCUUCCAUGAAAUACUAUAAUCA